rnacentral:rRNA from 1 species
UGGGGAAUUUUGGACAAUGGGCGCAAGCCUGAUCCAGCCAUGCCGCGUGCGGGAAGAAGGCCUUCGGGUUGUAAAGCUCUUUCAGCCGGAAAGAAAUCGCGCAGGAUAAUACUCUGCGUGGAUGACGGUACCGGAAGAAGAAGCACCGGCUAACUACGUGCCAGCAGCCGCGGUAAUACGUAGGGUGCGAGCGUUAAUCGGAACUACUGGGCGUAAAGCGUGCGCAGGCGGUUAUGUAAGACAGAUGUGAAAUCCCCGGGCUCAACCUGGGACCUGCAUUUGUGACUGUAUAGCUAGAGUACGGUAGAGGGGGAUGGAAUUCCGCGUGUAGCAGUGAAAUGCGUAGAUAUGCGGAGGAACACCGAUGGCGAAGGCGGCCAUCUGGACCACUACUGACGCUGAGGCGCGAAAGCGUGGGGAGCAAACA